AAUAGAUACCCAGGUAGUCCUAGCCGUAAACGAUGGACACUAGGUGUUGGUGGUAUCAACCCCACCAGUGCCGAAGCUAACGCAUUAAGUGUCCCGCCUGGGGAGUACGGCCGCAAGGCUAAAACUCAAAGGAAUUGACGGGGCCCCGCACAAGCAGCGGAGCGUGGGGUUUAAUUCGAUGCAACGCGAAGAACCUUACCAGGGCUUGACAUGACCAGGAAUCCGGCGGAAACGUCGGCGUCCCGCAAGGGACCUGGCCACAGGUGUUGCAUGGCUGUCGUUAGCUCGUGUCGUGAGAUGUUGGGUUAAGUCCCGGCAACGAGCGCAACCCCGUAUCGUGUGUUGUAUCACUCACACGAGACUGCCGAGAGAAACUCGGAGGAAGGCGGGAUGACGUCAAGUCAGCAUGGCCUUUACGUCCUGGGCUACACCCACGCUACAAUGGCCGGUACAACGGGCUGCGAAACCGCGAGGUGGAGCUAAUCCCUUAAAGCCGGUCUCAGUUCGGAUUGUAGGCUGCAACUCGCUACAUGAAGCCGGAGUUGC
rnacentral:rRNA from 1 species